AUACGGAGGAUGCAAGCGUUAUCCGGAUUUAUUGGGUUUAAAGGGUGCGUAGGCGGUUUGCUAAGCGGGAGGUGAAAUACCGGCGCUCAACGUCGGAAGUGCCUCCCGAACUGGUGGACUUGAAUGACUCUGCCGUGGGAGGAAUGUGUAGUGUAGCGGUGAAAUGCUUAGAGAUUACACAGAACACCGAUUGCGAAGGCAUCUCACGAAGGGUUGAUUGACGCUGAGGCACGAAAGCGUGGGGAUCAAACAGGAUUAGAUACCCUGGUAGUCCACGCAGUAAACGAUGAUGGCUAACCGCUGGGCUUAUCAGUUCAGUGGCCAAGCGAAAGCGAUAAGCCAUCCACCUGGGGAGUACGACCGCAAGGUUGAAACUCAAAUGAAUUGACGGG
rnacentral:rRNA from 1 species